AUGCUCACUUCAACACAUAUACUAAAAAUUGGAAUGAUACAGAGAAGAUGAGCCCAGCCCCCUGCACAAGGAUGACACACAAAUUUGUGAAAUACUCUGUAUUUUU
rfam:Tupaia chinensis contig211356, whole genome shotgun sequence.